AUCUGAAAAGGGCAAACCUCGCGAAAGUGGGGGACGCAAAGUCUAUAUCUACAGGGUAAACGCCUCAGGAUAGCAUGACUGCCAGA
rnacentral:ncRNA from 1 species